UUUGCGCUUGUAUGUAGCUCUCGUGUUCCAUUUUGCAUAUUUUAUGGUAUUGAAAUCGAAGUGUAAGUGCGUCGAGUCGAGCCUUGUGCUCCUCCGCCUUGCUGUUGCGAAUUCACUCCAAAAAUCUCCUUAUUCUGUGUAUUUCUACUUUUUGUGGAAUUUAUGAACUUUGGUGUAAUGCCGAGACGUUGUGCUUUCGGUUGUGCGCUCCGUGAGAUUCCAAUGCAUAGUUGCUGUCAAUUUCUUGAGCAGUUUAAAACUUGGGUCAGUCUUGUUGGUGGAAACCCUUAAACAUCUGAUCUUGAAUGUUAUAAGAAGAAGAGAAUUUGUGAUAUACACUUUUCUGACAGACACAGAAAUCAUAAUCAAUGGCUAAGCACAUUGGCAGUUCCGAUGCUUUAUCUGCUUGGACAACUACAGAGUCAAGUAAUCUUAGGACAAGCUUCAUCCACACAACAUUUACUGACUACAAUAAUACAGCAAGACUGUUCAGAUGCAUCUCAAGGUGCUUGAUGCUGGAACAUAGUUUUAUUAGCAAGCCUGAAAGAACAUCUGGAAAAGAUCUAAUGGCUCCACAAAAGAUCAAGCAUCUUCAAGCAGAAAUAUCGCGCUUGCGAAAAAAGGACAAUCUUUCAAAGCAAGAUUAAAAGGUGGUGCAGAUCGAUCAAUCGAAUUUUGUCAGGAAAAUUAACAUAUGUGGGUGAAGGCGAAACAAAAACAGCUGCCCAACAAUAUUAUGAUAAACAUAAACAUUAUAAAAAUAAAAAAUAAUAUGCAAA